rnacentral:lncRNA from 1 species
UUCCAAAACGAUUUUACAACACUUAAAGGGCACAAUAAUUACAGGAAUAGAAUGUACAAUAAAAAGUACAGAAUAAUGAGUGACAGGGAUCAAACACGUUGGAAUAAAAGGCAUCUCAGUUUUCCUAUGCAGCAUUUUCUUUUCUAGGAACACGUUACCUUCAACCAGGACAAGGAAAGAAAGAAAACUAUACUAUUGGAAAGCUCAUGGGUGCCAUUGAGGACAAAAACAGGCGAGUUUUGCUCUUGGUUCUGCAACUGAAUCACUUGAGAAGCCGUGCACAGCUCCCGAGUUGUGCGUUUAGAAUUCUGAUUACAUGAAAUGCUGUGUUUGAUCUUUGGGCCCAAUUCACUGUUCUUUGGCAAAUAAGAACUAUUUGCAUUCCAAGGCAGAUGACGAUUUCUGUGAAAGGAGCUUAGAGGUACAGCUGUUUCCUUCUGUUCAGUCAAGUGCCAGUUUCAUAAAGUGCACCUCUGCCCUAUCAGCUUUGGGGGAAGGGUGGCAUAUGGGGAGGAAGGGAUCAUUGAGAAUACAGGGUGAAAAAGAACGACGUUACUGAAGGUAGACAUUGCUAGUGCAAGGUACGGAAUCCAUGUGCAAAAGGUGGCUGGAACAAAUGUUCAGAUAAGGUGCGAUUUGCCAACAGGAGCAGAGAACUCUGACACCAGAUCUCAGAUGAGGCCAAGGAAAUGCGCGGGGCACAUACAGAGAGGACGACCUGCAGCCCUCCAAUGGCCACGUCAUUCCACCGGGGAACUUGUUUGGAGUUUUGGCACCGUGGGCUAACCGAGCACUCUUCUGACAUAUUCUUACAACUGGAAAUGCUUUGUUGGUCCCCAUGUUCCUUGACUUUCUCUAGGGCCAUAAAGGCAACAUCUUCUAUUGCAGGUCCUCAAACAUUCCAAGGAAAACACUGCUUCACCUCCUGCAGACAGCUCAUUUCCCAGAAGCCUCUACAGAAGCCCGUCCUCCCUGGGACAGCAGGGGCAGGGGUUUGCAAGAUAAAGGAGGGUCAGCUAAGGACAUGAAGCCUGCAGAAAAGGCUAUCAGAUGGCGCCUGAACUUAAGGUGGGAGGCCCCCUUCUAGAAGGCAUCCCGGGAGCAUCCAACAGCAAUGUGGCACUUAGGGCUGUGGGACAAACAAGUGGAAGAGUCUUUUGGAGACGUGGACCCUUUUCCCAUGCUACUCACAGUGAAGCAAAAUGCGACAAAAGCAUCCACACACGGUGACUUAGUAAAGCAAGCACCGUCGGGGUGCUACUUUCAUGACAGCAUAUGGUCAAGCUAUAAAGGUGUGCAUCGAUCAGUCCUGUGAAAAUAGAAGCUUAGUUAUUAGCAUGUAUUGAGGCAACUUGUACUUUGAUUCUUGUGUCUUCUUCACAUGUGUGAAUGACUGCUAUGGGACAGAACAUAUGGUUAAAAACAGGAGCGACAGCAACAUAACACACAGGGUUGGCCGGCUCCAUUACGGGUAAGACUCAGAGGCUGCUCCAGGUGUGUCCGGGGAAGCCAGGCCCUCACACUGCACAGCUUACAGGGCCCUGGGGUGGGGGCUGUGAGCUGGCAGCCUAGAGGACACAGCUCACCUGCACAUGGUCUCUGAAAGUGUUCAAAUUGGUUGCCAACAUUUAUAAAUGGAGAGAUGGCACCAAAAAACAUCUAGGUUUCUUGUCUCUUGAAAAAUCAAAGCUGUGGCCACCCUAGGCCCACUUUUCCACAUGGCAACAGGCGUGGAGCUGGGGGCUACUGCCCCUACUGUGUAGGCGGUGGGCUCCCCAUAGUCUCCUCUGCCCUGCUGCCGUGUACCUGGCUCCCUUCACUCAUCCACAUCACCGGCCCUAGGCCAGGGUCUGAACCACACACACAGAAUGGCUGCAGUAAGCAGGAACGGGAAGAGCUUUCACAUUCAGAACAAGAAGGGGCUUUUGAGUAACUAAAAAACAAUCUGAGCAUGUUCCAGCACUUCAACCUUACUCUUUCAGAGCUUUGGGGUAGCAGGCAGCCAGCUAGAGCACACUCUCUAAGGAACUCUUGAAAGUUGAUGUCUAAUUUUUAAGUACUCAUGAGGUGAUGGAGGAGAAACUAACUCAGAUGACUGCGAUACGAUACAUCUUUCCUUAUAAGAAGUCCUUAAAGAUGAUGAAAAAUGUGAAGCAACUCAUGUGAGAAAGCUAAAUCUGAAGAGUUCUGCGUCUGAAUUUGAAAUUGGACUUUAUAAAGCCUAGAAAACAGAGGAGGCGGUGCCCUGCCCUUGUCAGUUGUUGUUCUCUUUGGUGGUGAUGGUAACCAGCUGCUUGGCAGCCUUGGCGAUGUCGUACGCACACUGGAUGACCUGCUGCGUGACCAGCUGAACGUCUGUGGGUGAGCCGGGGUCCCCUGGGAGGGUCUUCUUGCACUCUGACUGCAGUCGGUAGGCACUGGACGUCAGUAAACGAAGGGAAGUCCUCACCAUAUCAGACUUGGGUUUCUAAAAGGAAAAAGACAGCCGUUUACCCUGAACUGCAGGGCAGACAUCCAAAAGCAGGGGACAAACAUUCUUCUAAAGCAAACCAAGCUGCUCCCCAGAGUGAAAGGCGGUUUGGUCCUGCCCUUUCUCAAAGGGGUGCUUCACACACUCCAAGCUUUGCAGCCCACAGCGUAAGAGAUGCUGAAAUAUUCUGAUUCAAAGGUCAAAGUGCAUGCAGGGUAAUUUUAGUAGUAUGUGGUAUUUUGAAGUAGUUUUUGAAAAAUAUUAAUCCAUGUGGGUAAAAUAUUCCAGAAAAUCCUAUAAAUUUUAAAAUGUGCCUUUUAGCACGACUUGUAUAUCCUUGUCUUAUUAAAUCAACAUUCAUGCAGAACAAAAAUAUUUCAAAGCUCUAUACGACUGCAUAUUUUAUUUUAUUUUACUUUUUUUUGAGACUUGAGUUUCACUCUUGUUGCCCAGGCUGGAGCGCAAUGGCACGAUCUUGACUCACUGCAACCUCCGCCUCCUGGGUUCAAGCGAUUCUCCUGCUUCAGCCUCCUGAGUAGCUGGGAUUACAGGCAUGCACCACCACGCCUGACUAAUUUUGUAUUUUUAGUAGAGACAGGGUCUCUCCAUGUUGGUCAGGCUGGCCUCGAACUCCCGACCUCAGGUGAUCUGCCUGUCUCGGCCUCCCAAAGUGCUGGGGUUACAGGCGUGAGCCACCACACCCGGCCUCGACUGCAUAUUUUAAAACUGCAUGUGCUACAAAAAAGCUAAUGUAAUAUAUAGGUCAUAAAGAAAUUUCUUGCUGUUCAUUUAAAAGGAUUUAAACCAAGUGAGUAGGAAGUGACUUACUUUGGGGAAUAAUGCUGCCAUUUCUGUAACAGCUACGUGUAUCCUCUCUGAGCAGGGAAUAUAACUGCAAGAAUAUUGAAGAAGUUAUUCAAUGACAGUAAAAAUGAUUCGGAGGCAAAGAGGACUCAAG